AGGAUAAUAGUUAAAUUUAACAUUUAAUUUGCAUUUAAAAAAUAUCGGCCCUCCCCCUAUUUAUCUUA
rnacentral:tRNA from 1 species